rfam:Ruminococcus torques L2-14 draft genome.
CAAAAUUCGUUGAUGAGAACAAAACCGUAUCCGUCAUUAUUUUCAGAGAGUCUGUGGCUGGUGUGAACAGACAAUAACCGGGUAAGGAUAUCCUCUCUAAGAAGCGGGCUGAAAGCAGAUGAACAUGUUGCAAGUAAACCUCGCCGGGAUCCACCGUUAUAUGGAUAGCAUAUGUUGGUAUGUGAAGUGUCGCAGCAUUAAUUUUUGCGGAAUUAGGGUGGUAACGCGGAUUAUAUUCGUCCCUUUU